AUCUUCCAACAUCAGUUAGUUAUAUAUGAAUGAGCAUGAAAUAAAAAAUUUAAAAUAAGGUUGGCAUUUAUAGCAAGAAGCAUUUGGACGGCGAGGCCACAACAAACUGCGGUUCGACAUCGCAAAAACGAUGUCAUCUCAUCUCUUACGGCAUCGUACGAGAAAACUCUGGCCAUCUUUCUAGUGAGAUGCUAGUGAGCAUAUAAAAAAGCAGGUACUUGACGCAAUAGGUAACUCAAAAGACACCGACUGAACGGGAAUACAUCGGCGCAUCGCACCGACAUUCUUGAAUUACAACUAGAAUCUAAAUGGUGCACGCUCGAAGCAGACAGACGAUGACACUUUCGUAUUUCGCACAGUAGUAUGGAUAGAAUAGAAUGAAAUAUUUAGUACUCCAAUCUGCAGAAGGUAUACUCGUAGUUCAAUAAGCGCUCAGUGCCUGUAACUAGAAUUUCUCAAUUCUUUGUUUUUAACCUCCACUUAAUUCAUUACAAUUGAGAUUUUAGAGAAUUCAGCUUCAGCCCAUGAUAAUAUUAUGAUAAAAAUAUAGUAGGAAGAUAAAGGGUAUGGUAGGUACUUGAACCCUAAAUCCUACUCUGUGCCAUAAGGACGUUUAUCUACAUUGGGUAUAAAAAUAAAAAAUACAAUGAUGUGGUAAAUAUUUAAUUAAGUGACGUUUAAAGUAAUUAUUUUAAAGAGCUUUCAGUUUAGUACAAUAUUAAAUACUUAUUUAACUAAUUUAAAGAUAGGAAUUAUUGUGAAAAGCAUAUUUGCAAUGAGCAUACAUGAGACUAAUAAGUAGGUAGGUAUAAAAUAUUAUAAUAUUAUAAUGUUUUAUGAUUAAUUAUGUACAAGUUAGGCGAUUAAAAGCUAUACAAAACUGUACAACAUUACUUAAGUAAAUACAUUUUUUUAACUAUUUUUUUUUUGUUAUUAAUUUUAUUAUUCGCUUAAUGACAUAGAUAAGUAAGUGUAUGUGAUAAUUUUAUCGAUAUUCUUAAAAAAUCUUAAUAAAAUUGCUAUCUAUGUGGGAUAUUGUACUGGCAAAAGUAAGAGAGAAAACUUAAUAGACCUAACAAAUAUUUCAUUCUAGGUCACACUGAAAUUAUGGAAACACCUACGCAUGAUCCGUUCGUGAAGGCGAC